GCUGGGCGCAGUGGCGCAUGCCUGUAGUCCCAGCUACUUGGGAGGCUGAGGUGGGAGAAUCACUUGAGCCAGGAGUUCUGGGCUGUAGUGCGCUAUGCCGAUCAGGUGUAGCAUCAAUAUGGUGACCUCCUGGAAGCAGGGGACCACCAGGUUGCCUAAGGAGGGGUGAACAGGCCCAAAUCAGAAUGGAGCAGGUUAAAACUCCCAUGCUGAUCAGUAGUGGGAUUGCGCCUGUGAAUAGCCACUGCAUUCCAACCUGGGCAACAGCGAGACCCCAUCUCUU
ensembl:misc_RNA Metazoa_SRP Metazoan signal recognition particle RNA